rnacentral:rRNA from 1 species
AUUGAACGCUGGCGGCAGGCCUAAUACAUGCAAGUCGAACGGUAACAUAAGAAAAGCUUGCUUUUCUUGAUGACGAGUGGCGGACGGGUGAGUAAGAUUUGGGAAACUACCUGAUAGAGGGGGACAACAGUUGGAAACGACUGCUAAUACCGCAUACAGCCUCAGGGUGAAAGAAGCGAUUCGCUAUCAGAUGUGCCCAAACGGGAUUAGCUAGUAGGUGAGGUAAAGGCUCACCUAGGCGACGAUCUCUAGCUGGUCUGAGAGGAUGAUCAGCCACAUUGGGACUGAGACACGGCCCAGACUCCUACGGGAGGCAGCAGUAGGGAAUAUUGCACAAUGGAGGAAACUCUGAUGCAGCCAUGCCGCGUGUGUGAAGAAGGCC